GAACGUCUUCAGGGCGGGGUGUAAUUCCCCACCGGCGGUAGGUGCGCGGUUCCCCCGGGAACCUGCACGAGCCCGCGAGCGCCGAGGCCGGCACGCGAGUCAUUGCACUCGCGGAUACCCAUGCAUCGCAUGCGCGGGUUGCAACGGCCGAGGGUCAGCAGAUCCGGUCCGAUGCCGGAGCCGACGGUUGGCGACGCCGCGAACGCGGUGCCGCCUAGAGUCCGGAUGAAAGAAGACGGCC
rnacentral:ncRNA from 2 species